GGCUGCCUCCCUAAUCAUCAUACUGAAAUGUAGUUGUCACUGUAACAGUAGCCACUGUGCCUUAUGACCACUGUGUGCUCAAUGCCCCACAUAGCACCCAACACACACUGGGUCUACACCAACGUGGCCAGACUGAAAAAAGAGGGGAUAGAUGAGGCUCAGGGUCAGUGAUGGAUAAUUUACUGAAGUCAUAGGAAGACAAAUGUAAUAAGGUAGAAAUAAAGUCAGACCCUCUGUCAGUCUCCAUCCAGGAGGGCUUGAAAGGGCCCAGCAGCUGCCCAGUGACAACUGUCAUCGCUCACCCAGUGAUCUGUUAAUCAGGGCAGGUAGCAACAUCCCUGUUCCUACCCACUAGAUGUCAGUAGCAACCUCCAAUCCUUCCAGUUGUGACAACAGAAAUGCCAGGAGAUGUCAAAUAUUCCCCACAGGACAGCAGUGCCCCACUGAGAUCCACGGAGUUACAGUGACUUCAUUGCACAGCUGUUCCAUCAGGUCCCAGAUACUACCCCAUGACAGGACCUGGGAGAGCAAAAGCAAAGCCUUGGAAUCCCUACAGGCUUCCAAGUGUAACUGGCUUGACCCACGCUACCAUCUCGUCAGCAAGAACGCACGCAGGACACUCGGAUCCGUCUGCAGUAAAGCUUUAAUGAAUCUCAAGAGAUAGAUGAUCAGCUUCAGGAGAGGAGACCCAGAGAGCAGAAAACCCUUCCCUUAUAUAGGCUGCGAAGUAAGUUUGGAGACGUGCACUAGCCGGAUUGGCUGCCCACCAUCAGCCAGAUGACGCCAUGGGAGAGGCAGGGCUCAGGUAAUGGAAAGAUACCCUGACGCCUGCGCACACUACUUGUUUUUCACCACGAGCAACAGAUGUCAGCGCCAUUUUGUAAUGGCGACCGUGAGGGCGGCUCCUCACACUGGCUAGUUUUGUGUCAACUUGACACAGCUGGAGUUAUCACAGAAAAAGGAGCUUCAGUUGAGGAAAUGCCUCCACGAGAUCCAGCUGUGGGGUAUUUUCUCAAUUAGUGAUCAAGGGGGAAAGGCUCCUUGUGGGCGGGACCAUCGCUGGG
rnacentral:lncRNA from 1 species